UCUCAGUUCGGAUUGGAGUCUGNAACCCGACUCCAUGAAGCUGGAUUCGCUAGUAAUCGCGCAUCAGCCACGGCGCGGUGAAUACGUUCCCGGGCCUUGUACACACCGCCCGUCAAGCCAUGGAAGCCGGGAGUGCCUGAAGUACGCGACCGCAAGGAGCGUCCUAAGGUAAAACCGGUGACUGGGGCUAAGUCGUAACAAGGUACC
rnacentral:rRNA from 1 species